rnacentral:rRNA from 1 species
GACGAACGCUGGCGGCGUGGAUUAGGCAUGCAAGUCGAACGGUAUCAUCCUUUCGGGGGUGAGAGAGUGGCGAACUGGUGAGUAACACGUAGGUUAUCUACCCUCAAGACGGGGACAACCCAGGGAAACUUGGGCUAAUACCGGAUGUGAGCAACUUUUAGUUGUUUGAAAGGUGGCGUAAGCUGUCGCUUGGGGAUGAGCCUGCGUCCUAUUAGUUAGUUGGUGAGGUAACGGCUCACCUAGGCAAUGAUAGGUAGGCGGCCUUAACGGGUGGUCGCCCACACUGGGAUUGAGAUACGGCCCAGACUCCUACGGGAGGCAGCAGUCGAGAAUAGUCUACAAUGGUCGGAAGACUGAUAGUGCGACGCCGCGUGAACGAUGAAUCCCUUCGGGGUUAAAGUUCUUUUAUAUGUGAGCAGUGCUUCUUAAUAUUAACAGUAUGGGGAAGAGAUAUAGCAUAUGAAUAAGCAACGGCUAACUCCGUGCCAGCAGCCGCGGUAA